rnacentral:tRNA from 1 species
UCUUAAGCUCAGUUGGUAAAGAAUCUGUCUGUAAUGCAGGAGACCCAGGUUCAAUUCCUGGGUCAAGAA